CUAUACUAAUAUAAAAAUGAGGAGUUGCCCCCUCCAAUCUUACAGGUGAAAUCAUCUCGAUCAAUCCUUACCGUCCAUCUGCGUCUGUCCUGAUCCAUAUCCUCCAUCCAUCCGCCACGGAUUGUCCGCUUCCUCCUUCUCGCGCGAUGAACUUGCGCUGACCAUGCUGGACUCGCGCUCCUCCUCGCCCCGAUUCUCCUCGCCCCGCCUCAGUCCAACGGUGCUCCAGCCGAUGCUCCUCCUCCUCCACCCUAUUCCUCCUCGCAUUCCCCGUUCGCGCCGCCGGAGGGUCGUCCCCUUCCGCCGACGCCGCCAUACUCCACCGAUGCCCUCGCUGGAACCGAUUUCUUCCCCUUCCGCCGGCACCGCAAUCCACAUCACAGGUUCACAGGUCCUCGCCGGAACCGAUUUCUUCCCCUUCCGCCGUGCCACCGUCGCCGCAAUCCACUUCACAGGUUCAUCUUGCGCCGAUUGGUUCCCGUCAGAUUUGAGUAGGAACUAAAGGAACCAUCACUAUUCCCCUGAACCCUAAGUUGAUCCUGUGCAGCCCCUGUCAAUGGAUUUGUAUCCUUUCUUUCUUCUGAACUUUUCAGAUCACUGGAGGCUCUAAAUUUUGCUUGUAAUACAGAUGAUUAGCACUACUCACUGUGAAGCCAUCCUACUGUUCUUGUUCGUAGUUACUGAAAAAUAUAUAAAGCCAUCCUACUGUUCUAUAGGAGAAUCUAAACCCAGUGGCAACAUCACAUGCAAAACACCUCCAUAUGAAAUUAAUCCUUCUUUUUCUUCCUAUUUCCUUGCAGAUCUUCAAAUUUGUGGUUCCCCGAGUAUAUAUAUGCCCAGGUUGUAUGCUUGAAGGUUGUAACUCCUAGCGAUGGACGGCAUUCCUAAAUUAACUGCAAAUGAAUUAAGAAGACAAAGAGACCGAGAGCGGUACGCGGCACUCAGCGUUGAGGAGAAGGCAGCACGAGUUCAAAAGAACCGUGAAAAUAGGAAGAGGAAGAAGUCUGCAUCUACAUCGGGCACAGUUUUGAAUCAGAGCCUGUGCCUUUCUCCACACAUGGUGUGCUUGGCGAUAUUAAAAAUUUGAGUUUGCAUAAUGGAAGCCAAACUGUAGAUUGUCAGCCAUCAUUUCAACCUGUGCCUUCCUCCACACCCGUGUCUUCCUGCACACCUGUUUGCAGAAACCGACAAACCUAAGGAAGUACUUUUUGCGGCACACUUGCCGUAUACUGCUGCAUGCAGCUCAGGCAAUGUCACAGUUAUCAUGCAGGCUCCCAAUGAAGUGCUUUCCAAGUACCACUGAAAUGGUGAAAUUGGUGUAGUUAUCAUGCAUGCUCCCAAUGAGGAAAUAUAGGACAAAUAAACAGAUGACUGUUUUAGACAAGUUCACCCUAUUGAUAGCAUUAAAAUUAGAUGCUCAAGAUGGAUGAUAGUAACAACAAAAGCAAGUGGUUAAGUCCUCCAAUGUUUCAUCAUUUACGGAGGAGUUCAUAAGGCUUGCCCCAGUCUCUCUCGCGGCAAUGGUCUGCGUGUGCUACAAUCUGCAUCCCUCCACGCCUGAGUAAUCCCCUCCGUUCCCAUGUUGACCGACGCGGCCGCCGCUGUCUCCUCCAAAGCAGCAGCGGUCCUAGCCGAAUUGGCCAUCCCCAUUGCCAAACACCAUCACUGGCGCCGGCAGCCUCAAUCCGCGUCGAGUUUUUGUCUCCACCAGCAUAGUGGUCUCUACACAUGAGGCCUCGAGUGACAAAUCAGAGCAGCAAUCAUGCUUUGUUGUGGCUUUUAUCUCUGCCGAUCUCACGGCAAUCUAUCGACAUGCACAUUUGUAUUUUGUAGUUGGAUAAAAAAAAAGUAGCAAUAGUUGCCAUCUUUUUCUCUAGGAAAAACUGAUUUGUUUAUAUGCUUUCUCAGUUUAUGUCAGAGAAAAUGGUUAGUUGAGCUUGUCUCCUAUACUGAAUGUGCUUGGGGUUAACUGGGCUUUCAGUCAGUAAGCAUGGUAACAGACUCUUCAUUGAGUUAAGUAGUCCAAUAAUUAUUUUUUAAAGCAUUUUAGUCAGAGUAGAAACAAUUAUAUUUUUUCUCUACUGACUGCAUCUGGUAUUUUUGGUAAUUAGCUGGCAUCACGUACUUAUGUAUAUAGUCAUAUGGACAUCAAGCAUGUUUGUGGGAUAAUAUAAGAUGCUCUAGGCAGAGUAGAAACAUUUAUAUUUUACAUUCCUUUGUGUCAUAUUUUCCCUUUUUUAGGGAAGGGGGCAGAUCACUGCUCAAUAAUAAAUUUAUUCAUAGUUUA